CAUCUUACUAGACAGUGCUGGAUUUUUUGGAUCUACUCUAACACUGUCUGGUAACGAUGUU
rnacentral:pre_miRNA from 3 species